UACAGAGGGUGCUAGCGUUGUUCGGAAUCAUUGGGCGUAAAGGGCGUGUAGGCGGUUUGUUAAGUCAUGUGUGAAAUCCCUCGGCUCAACCGGGGAACGACGCAUGAAACUGGCAGCUAGAGUACCAAAGAGGGGGGUGGAAUUCCCGGUGUAGCGGUGAAAUGCGUAGAUAUCAGGAAGAACACCCGUGGCUAAGGCGGCUCUCUAGUACGGUACUGACGCUGAGACGCGAAAGCGUGGGGAGCGAACAGG
rnacentral:rRNA from 1 species